rnacentral:rRNA from 1 species
AAGUCGAACGAGAAAGCCCGCAAGGGUGAGUGCAGUGGCGCACGGGUGAGUAAUACAUAGGAAUCUGCCUCUGAGUGAGGAAUACCCUGGAGAAAUCCAGGUUAAUACUGCAUAAGCCCUGAACUUGUUUCAGGGGAAAGGUGGCCUCAAGCUGCCGCUGAGAGAUGAGCCUAUGGCCUAUUAGCUAGUUGGAGAGGUAAAAGCUCACCAAGGCGAGGAUGGGUAGCCGGCCUGAGAGGGUGUACGGCCACACUGGAACUGAGACACGGUCCAGACUCCUACGGGAGGCAGCAGUGGGGAAUCUUGCACAAUGGGCGAAAGCCUGAUGCAGCGACGCCGCGUGGAGGAUGAAGGUCUUCGGAUUGUAAACUCCUGUUAAGUGGGAAGAAAGGCUCAUACCUAAUACGUAUGGGAGAUGACGGUACCACUAGAGAAAGCACCGGCAAACUUCGUG